rnacentral:rRNA from 1 species
GAUGAACGCUGGCGGCGUGCCUAAAACAUGCAAGUCGAGCGGUAAGGCCUCUUCGGAGGUACACGAGCGGCGGACGGGUGAGUAACACGUGGGAAUCUACCCCAAACUGAGGGAUAAGCACCGGAAACGGUGUCUAAUACCGCAUAUGGUCUUCGGAUUAAAGCUUCGGCGGUUUGGGAAGAGCCCGCGUAAGAUUAGCUAGUUGGUGAGGUAAAGGCUUACCAAGGCGACGAUCUUUAGCUGGUUUGAGAGGAUGAUCAGCCACACUGGAACUGAGACACGGUCCAGACUCCUACGGGAGGCAGCAGUUAGGAAUUUUCCACAAUGGGCGAAAGCCUGAUGGAGCAACGCCGCGUGCAGGAUGAAGGUUUUCGGAUUGUAAACUGCUUUUAUACGUGAAGAAUAUGACGGUAACGUAUGAACAAGGAUCGGCUAACUCCGUGCCAGCAGCCGCCGUAA